CCCUUGGGGUGCCUAUACAUGCAAGUCGAACGAACUCUGGUAUUGAUUGGUGCUUGCAUCAUGAUUUACAUUUGAGUGAGUGGCGAACUGGUGAGUAACACGUGGGAAACCUGCCCAGAAGCGGGGGAUAACACCUGGAAACAGAUGCUAAUACCGCAUAACAACUUGGACCGCAUGGUCCGAGUUUGAAAGAUGGCUUCGGCUAUCACUUUUGGAUGGUCCCGCGGCGUAUUAGCUAGAUGGUGGGGUAACGGCUCACCAUGGCAAUGAUACGUAGCCGACCUGAGAGGGUAAUCGGCCACAUUGGGACUGAGACACGGCCCAAACUCCUACGGGAGGCAGCAGUAGGGAAUCUUCCACAAUGGACGAAAGUCUGAUGGAGCAACGCCGCGUGAGUGAAGAAGGGUUUCGGCUCGUAAAACUCUGUUGUUAAAGAAGAACAUAUCUGAGAGUAACUGUUCAGGUAUUGACGGUAUUUAACCAGAAAGCCACGGCUAACUACGUGCCAGCAGCCGCGGUAAUACGUAGGUGGCAAGCGUUGUCCGGAUUUAUUGGGCGUAAAGCGAGCGCAGGCGGUUUUUUAAGUCUGAUGUGAAAGCCUUCGGCUCAACCGAAGAAGUGCAUCGGAAACUGGGAAACUUGAGUGCAGAAGAGGACAGUGGAACUCCAUGUGUAGCGGUGAAAUGCGUAGAUAUAUGGAAGAACACCAGUGGCGAAGGCGGCUGUCUGGUCUGUAACUGACGCUGAGGCUCGAAAGUAUGGGUAGCAAACAGGAUUAGAUACCCUGGUAGUCCAUACCGUAAACGAUGAAUGCUAAGUGUUGGAGGGUUUCCGCCCUUCAGUGCUGCAGCUAACGCAUUAAGCAUUCCGCCUGGGGAGUACGGCCGCAAGGCUGAAACUCAAAGGAAUUGACGGGGGCCCGCACAAGCGGUGGAGCAUGUGGUUUAAUUCGAAGCUACGCGAAGAACCUUACCAGGUCUUGACAUACUAUGCAAAUCUAAGAGAUUAGACGUUCCCUUCGGGGACAUGGAUACAGGUGGUGCAUGGUUGUCGUCAGCUCGUGUCGUGAGAUGUUGGGUUAAGUCCCGCAACGAGCGCAACCCUUAUUAUCAGUUGCCAGCAUUAAGUUGGGCACUCUGGUGAGACUGCCGGUGACAAACCGGAGGAAGGUGGGGAUGACGUCAAAUCAUCAUGCCCCUUAUGACCUGGGCUACACACGUGCUACAAUGGAUGGUACAACGAGUUGCGAACUCGCGAGAGUAAGCUAAUCUCUUAAAGCCAUUCUCAGUUCGGAUUGUAGGCUGCAACUCGCCUACAUGAAGUCGGAAUCGCUAGUAAUCGCGGAUCAGCAUGCCGCGGUGAAUACGUUCCCGGGCCUUGUACACACCGCCCGUCACACCAUGAGAGUUUGUAACACCCAAAGUCGGUGGGGUAACCUUUUAGGAACCAGCCGGCUUAAGGCUGGGCCCGUU
rnacentral:rRNA from 1 species